rnacentral:rRNA from 1 species
AUGUACUCUGAAACCUCCACCGAUGGGCUGAACGAGGUGCCUUUGUCACUUGAGGACCCGGAUUACAAGGGCCUUGAGCUAGAUCUGAUGGCGUUCUGCGAGAAGCAUGGGAAGCCAUCAGAGAGGCUUGUUGCGUUUGAAGGAACAAUGACUGGGAGAAGUGUUGCUCAAUUUCAGUUCAGUGCAGCCAUAGGUUGUCUCAAUGGUAGGAGUAAUGCACAUGGCUGCUUAGCAACUGCUAAGUUGAAUGGAGUGUUACUCUUCUGCCUGGAAGGUCAGAAUUGUGGGUUUGUUCAAUGGGUUGAUGAGCAGUGGCCCCCAACAAUGGAGAAUGCAUUGUUGAAGCUUUGGUCAAUGGUUGAAGAGAGCAAGUGUGCUAGGGUGAAUGAUAAUCUUAAAAGUGCUUUAACUAUUUACCAGUUGACAGAAGAAAAGAACAAGCUGGAUGCAUACUAUGAUAAGUUGGUGAAAGAUGUGCAUCAACUUGUGGAUAUGCAGGAGGAUAGGGUUGUGGAUUUCAGUUAUCUGCAGUCCAACAUCACAUAUCAGCAGGAAUGCAGAGCUGAGUUGGUUGCUGGUAUGAAGGCAGAAAUGGCAAAGAAAGAUGCAGCUACAGAGAAGCUUCAACAGAGAUAUGAAAUCUUGUGCAACCUGACAAGUGCUCAAGCAACUGUCAUCCAAAACCUGAAGUUGAAGAUAUGA